CUGGUUGUAUGAAAUGUGGGCCUUAUAUGGCUUUUAGGCUUGGUUAAGACCUCAAGGGCUGAAGAGCGGUAGUGGGCUAUUGUUCAAUACUUCUAUUUUCAUCUAGAAAAACUUAUUUAGAUGGGGCAGUAUCCGAUCGGAUAACUCGAUACCCAAUCUUAUAGGGUAUGGGUAAAGAAAGUAUUGAUCCAUCGAGUCAUAGAUCGAGUUCAGGUUAAAAUGCUGGGAUAUC
rnacentral:lncRNA from 1 species